GCGAAAGUGGUGAAAUUGGUAGACACGCUGGAUUUAGGUUCCAGUGCCGCAAGGCGUGAGAGUUCGAGUCUCUCCUUUCGCA
rnacentral:tRNA from 1 species